UACGUAGGGGGCUAGCGUUGUCCGGAAUCAUUGGGCGUAAAGAGCGUGUAGGCGGCCCGGUAAGUCCGCUGUAAAAGUCAAAGGCUCAACCUUUGAAUGUCAGUGGAUACUGCCGGGCUAGAGUCCGGAAGAGGCGAGUGGAACUCCUGGUGUAGCGGUGGAAUGCGCAGAUAUCAGGAGGAAUACCGGUGGCGAAGGCGGCAUCCUGGACCGACAUUGACGCUGAGGAGCGAAAGCCAGGGGAGCAAACAGG
rnacentral:rRNA from 1 species